rnacentral:rRNA from 1 species
UACAGAGGGUGCGAGCGUUGUUCGGAAUUAUUGGGCGUAAAGCGAGUGUAGGCGGGGUCGUGUGUCGGAUGUGAAAGCCCUCGGCUCAACCGAGGAAGUGCGUUCGAAACUGCGGUUCUUGAGUGUCGGAGAGGGUGGCGGAAUUCCCGGUGUAGAGGUGAAAUUCGUAGAUAUCGGGAGGAACACCAGUGGCGAAGGCGGCCACCUGGACGAACACUGACGCUGAGACUCGAAAGCUUGGGGAGCAAACAGG